rnacentral:lncRNA from 1 species
UUGAAAAGAGAUUCAAUGAUACUGUAAUAGAGAUUAUUGUAUCUCACUAUCAGAUAGAAUUGAACCUAUGGGAUAACAUAAUAAAGGAAUUAGGCCUGAAAUUAGUAAUUGAGCUUAUGAAAUAUCAAUUGGAUUUAGAAAAAUCCGAUUGGGUUCAAGGUAAUCUUGCUAGUACAUGGUUGGACCCAAGUCCUCUUUUUAUUUAGAUUUAUUAUUUGAUA